rnacentral:lncRNA from 1 species
GUGGUGACCAGCGUGAUUGACAAGUAACCUAAAACUACCGAGCAACCCAAGGAUGGUAACCAGUGACGAAGGAGCUUGCUGCUUGGGAAUGAGUAGUGUCUGUCCACCCUUGUGUUGGGUGUUACCUUAUUUUGAAAUAUGAACUUUGUUUAAACUGCUUUACUUAUGCUUCCGCUAUUUAUCAACUGUUUGAACUUGAAACCUUAAACUCUGAACUUGAUAUUUGCUAAUCUUAUGGUUAGUAAGUAUUACUUUUGUUAACAAUUUAAUUAUUCGGUAUAAUUGGUGGCUGGAUCCUGGUCAGUCACGCCCUCGAAGCGGGUGUUAUCCGCAGGUGGAUUUUGGGGGUGUGACACCUUAAACAUUUAUGUUAGGAAAUUAAUACCUUAUGUAUUAUUCUGUGAAAAUAAAAUCUUAAUAUUUAUAUUAUGAUUCUAUUAC